rnacentral:lncRNA from 1 species
CCAAAUUCUUUCUCGAUCAAAAAUUCAACUUUUUCCCCUAUUAAAUAAUGCGAGGGCAAAAUUGUCUUUUUGCUAGAAGAUAUUAAUCCUACUUUUUAGAUAUUUUGUUACUUUUUAGAUAUUUUGUUUUGGGUUAUUACAAUGGGUCUGCAAGAAUGUUGUAUAACUCAUAGGGAUUUUGUUGUUGUUGUUGUUGUUGUUUUUGUUUUUGUUUUGUUUUUUUGUUUUUGGUGAAAAAGGUUACUAGAAGGCAAGUAGUGUUCAAUUUGUAACACUAGCUAUGUGGAAAUAAAAAAAAUAAAAAAAAGGUCUGCUAGAAUGAUUGAUUGAGCAUGAAAUGAGAACUUUGCUUGUCAUGAGCUUGAGUAAUAGAUUGCAUGAUGCUUCGAAAUUUUUUUUUUUGUUUAUGCAUUUCGCUUGACAUGAGAUAGCUUGCUUUGCUUGGCAUGUGAAGUUUCUAUUGCUUGCAUGCUAGUGUGGAGAUUGUUUGGCUUUAACACAGAGAACUUACUUUGUACUUUAACCUUUUGCAGCAUAUUCUUUGUUGGCAAUUCUUGGAGAGAUUCAAGCACUGAGUCACAAUGACCUCUGUGAUGAGUGAUGGCCUAUUUUCCCUUGUACAAUGGGUUGAAGAAGGGACAGCUACCUUCAUAGCUUAGAAACAUUUGCCAAGACUUGAUCAUAGGCACUGAGUAAGCUUUGGAGGCUACUCUCAUUUCCAGGUCUUGUAUAGAAGAAAGACGUGUUUCCAGCGACUUCUUGAGUUUUUUCAAUACCCCUGCAGCAUCACGAAGGGAGUAGUGUUCCGAAAGGGUUUGAGCAAGCAUCUUAUUAGGACCUCGCGUGGACUUCCCGCUUCAUAUUUAGAAGAAGUUAUAUGUCACAUUAUUUUUUAGAGCACGGGCUGCUUGUAGCAUAAAGAUGCAUCUCGAGUCCCCCUUAAACAAGAGUUGUCGUUAAUGUGUUAAGCCUUCAGGAACACAAAUUGGAGAGCCAGUGUCGUAAGCUACACGACCUUCUCCUUGACAAAUGAGCAACUAAGAAUGGCGCUUGGCGUGUGAUGGAAACAUCGAAAGGAUCAUCUCUCCACGCUUCUUCUGUUUUGUUUUAGUCAUGCACCGUGAUCUAAUUGAGGUACCCAAUUCUCCUUCUUUACACCGUAAUAUAUAUAUUAUUUAGCAAGUCCAAAUCUUCCAGCACCAUCCCUCUCUAACACGCAUCCUUAUUUUUUCUUGCAGGUUGCAUUUCUUUGUUGUGGGGAGCUGGCUCGAUGCAUGUAGCUUUUCCAUUUAAAACCACAAGGUGUAUCGAUCUUUAGCACAGUUGACUGCAUUUGGGUUUGAGUUGUAACCCUUUUUUUUUUUUGAGAGCCUAAAGCUCAUGUUGUUGGAAACUUGAAACACAACAUUGGUGCAUACUUUCUGUCAGAACUUUUGAUGUAGAAUGCUUGAGAUAUUAAGCUGCGGCCUGUUUGUACUCUUUGUUUGGUUGGAAAUAAUGAAAUGCAUGAAUUUGUUGAGGUUUGGAUGCAUUGAGAUAAUGAUUUCCAACUUGUUCUGUACACUUUGCUUGGUUGAAAUGCAAGACUUGCUUGAGAUUUUAACAGGUUGGGUUGUGGUAGGUGCAAGGUACAUGCUGCCAAUUUUUUUACAGGAUCACAAAAGUGUUUGCCCCAUUGCCUCUGCAUUUUUUCUACCUCCAC